AACCUAUAAAACCAUGUUCAGGGCAUCCAAAGUUGCAGAGGAAAGAUGGAAAAAGGUGGAUGACUCUCUUCCGGCGUGGCUGAUCGUGAGGGCAGGCCUUGGGAGACAAGGAGAAGCUAAGACCGGCUAAACGUGGUAGAUGGACCACAGACUCACAACUGCAAACACACUUUUUAAAAGAUAUGACCCAGAAAGGAUAAAAAGAACAGAAAAGGAGAAGCAAUGAAAGACAGUCAAGUGCAAACUGGAAGGCAGUCAGUCUUCAGGGUUGACGACUGUUUCAUCGACAACAUCAAGGAGGUGCACCCCUACUCUGACGUCUUGGAGGGUUUGUGCAAAGGUGA